CCCUCCUGCACCCCUGUAGUCCAGAAGGAAUAGUAAAGAGUGAGCCGUGCCUGUGGGCUGGAGGGUGGAUAGUACGCCUGCGCCACUCGCUAUGGCAGGGCAAUACAUGUGACUGCUGAAAAUGCUUUGCCUUGGAGCCACAAUGGGGAGGCAUAAAGUAUACAUCCUAUUCCAGAACUUAACCUAAUACCAACUUCCUCCUGCCUCAAGGACCAAAGAGAGAAGUGGACAACGCUUUUCAUAAUUUUCCGGAACUUGGAAGAGAAUACCUAAGGCUUGGAGUCCAAAUGGAGACCUGAAUAUGAACUCCAUUCAUCCUCACUCCCCAAUACCUGUCUUUCAUUUAAAAGACCUUGCAAAAGGGUGUCUUCUUUGUUAUUAUAAAGCUAUUUAUAAAACGCAUGGGUAAUUUUUCAA